rnacentral:rRNA from 1 species
GGUUAAGCGACUAAGCGUACACGGUGGAUGCCCUGGCAGUCAGAGGCGAUGAAGGACGUGCUAAUCUGCGAUAAGCGUCGGUAAGGUGAUAUGAACCGUUAUAACCGGCGAUUUCCGAAUGGGGAAACCCAGUGUGAUUCGUCACACUAUCAUUAACUGAAUCCAUAGGUUAAUGAGGCGAACCGGGGGAACUGAAACAUCUAAGUACCCCGAGGAAAAGAAAUCAACCGAGAUUCCCCCAGUAGCGGCGAGCGAACGGGGAGCAGCCCAGAGCCUGAAUCAGUGUGUGUGUUAGUGGAAGCGUCUGGAAAGGCGCGCGAUACAGGGUGACAGCCCCGUACACAAAAAUGCACAUGCUGUGAGCUCGAUGAGUAGGGCGGGACACGUGGUAUCCUGUCUGAAUAUGGGGGGACCAUCCUCCAAGGCUAAAUACUCCUGACUGACCGAUAGUGAACCAGUACCGUGAGGGAAAGGCGAAAAGAACCCCGGCGAGGGGAGUGAAAAAGAACCUGAAACCGUGUACGUACAAGCAGUGGGAGCACAGAGCAAUCUGUGUGACUGCGUACCUUUUGUAUAAUGGGUCAGCGACUUAUAUUCUGUAGCAAGGUUAACCGAAUAGGGGAGCCGAAGGGAAACCGAGUCUUAACUGGGCGUUAAGUUGCAGGGUAUAGACCCGAAACCCGGUGAUCUAGCCAUGGGCAGGUUGAAGGUUGGGUAACACUAACUGGAGGACCGAACCGACUAAUGUUGAAAAAUUAGCGGAUGACUUGUGGCUGGGGGUGAAAGGCCAAUCAAACCGGGAGAUAGCUGGUUCUCCCCGAAAGCUAUUUAGGUAGCGCCUCGUGAAUUCAUCUCCGGGGGUAGAGCACUGUUUCGGCAAGGGGGUCAUCCCGACUUACCAACCCGAUGCAAACUGCGAAUACCGGAGAAUGUUAUCACGGGAGACACACGGCGGGUGCUAACGUCCGUCGUGAAGAGGGAAACAACCCAGACCGCCAGCUAAGGUCCCAAAGUCAUGGUUAAGUGGGAAACGAUGUGGGAAGGCCCAGACAGCCAGGAUGUUGGCUUAGAAGCAGCCAUCAUUUAAAGAAAGCGUAAUAGCUCACUGGUCGAGUCGGCCUGCGCGGAAGAUGUAACGGGGCUAAACCAUGCACCGAAGCUGCGGCAGCGACGCUGAUGCGUUGUUGGGUAGGGGAGCGUUCUGUAAGCCUGCGAAGGUGUGCUGUGAGGCAUGCUGGAGGUAUCAGAAGUGCGAAUGCUGACAUAAGUAACGAUAAAGCGGGUGAAAAGCCCGCUCGCCGGAAGACCAAGGGUUCCUGUCCAACGUUAAUCGGGGCAGGGUGAGUCGACCCCUAAGGCGAGGCCGAAAGGCGUAGUCGAUGGGAAACAGGUUAAUAUUCCUGUACUUGGUGUUACUGCGAAGGGGGGACGGAGAAGGCUAUGUUGGCCGGGCGACGGUUGUCCCGGUUUAAGCGUGUAGGCUGGUUUUCCAGGCAAAUCCGGAAAAUCAAGGCUGAGGCGUGAUGACGAGGCACUACGGUGCUGAAGCAACAAAUGCCCUGCUUCCAGGAAAAGCCUCUAAGCAUCAGGUAACAUCAAAUCGUACCCCAAACCGACACAGGUGGUCAGGUAGAGAAUACCAAGGCGCUUGAGAGAACUCGGGUGAAGGAACUAGGCAAAAUGGUGCCGUAACUUCGGGAGAAGGCACGCUGAUAUGUAGGUGAAGUCCCUCGCGGAUGGAGCUGAAAUCAGUCGAAGAUACCAGCUGGCUGCAACUGUUUAUUAAAAACACAGCACUGUGCAAACACGAAAGUGGACGUAUACGGUGUGACGCCUGCCCGGUGCCGGAAGGUUAAUUGAUGGGGUCAGCGCAAGCGAAGCUCUUGAUCGAAGCCCCGGUAAACGGCGGCCGUAACUAUAACGGUCCUAAGGUAGCGAAAUUCCUUGUCGGGUAAGUUCCGACCUGCACGAAUGGCGUAAUGAUGGCCAGGCUGUCUCCACCCGAGACUCAGUGAAAUUGAACUCGCUGUGAAGAUGCAGUGUACCCGCGGCAAGACGGAAAGACCCCGUGAACCUUUACUAUAGCUUGACACUGAACAUUGAGCCUUGAUGUGUAGGAUAGGUGGGAGGCUUUGAAGUGUGGACGCCAGUCUGCAUGGAGCCGACCUUGAAAUACCACCCUUUAAUGUUUGAUGUUCUAACGUUGACCCGUGAUCCGGGUUGCGGACAGUGUCUGGUGGGUAGUUUGACUGGGGCGGUCUCCUCCUAAAGAGUAACGGAGGAGCACGAAGGUUGGCUAAUCCUGGUCGGACAUCAGGAGGUUAGUGCAAUGGCAUAAGCCAGCUUGACUGCGAGCGUGACGGCGCGAGCAGGUGCGAAAGCAGGUCAUAGUGAUCCGGUGGUUCUGAAUGGAAGGGCCAUCGCUCAACGGAUAAAAGGUACUCCGGGGAUAACAGGCUGAUACCGCCCAAGAGUUCAUAUCGACGGCGGUGUUUGGCACCUCGAUGUCGGCUCAUCACAUCCUGGGGCUGAAGUAGGUCCCAAGGGUAUGGCUGUUCGCCAUUUAAAGUGGUACGCGAGCUGGGUUUAGAACGUCGUGAGACAGUUCGGUCCCUAUCUGCCGUGGGCGCUGGAGAACUGAGGGGGGCUGCUCCUAGUACGAGAGGACCGGAGUGGACGCAUCACUGGUGUUCGGGUUGUCAUGCCAAUGGCACUGCCCGGUAGCUAAAUGCGGAAGAGAUAAGUGCUGAAAGCAUCUAAGCACGAAACUUGCCCCGAGAUGAGUUCUCCCUGACUCCUUGAGAGUCCUGAAGGAACGUUGAAGACGACGACGUUGAUAGGCCGGGUGUGUAAGCGCAGCGAUGCGUUGAGCUAACCGGUACUAAUGAACCGUGAGGCUUAACCUU